rnacentral:rRNA from 1 species
AAUCAAGCUACUAAGGGCAUACGGUGGAUGCCUUGGCGCUAGAAGCCGACGAAGGGCGUGGCACACUGCGAAAAGCUCUGGGGAGCCCGUGUGCAGGCGACAUAUCCAGAGAUACCCGAAUGGGGGAACCCGCGCAGGAGAACCUUGCGCACCGCUGGCUGAACACAUAGGCCAGCAGGAGGGAACCGGGGGAACUGAAACAUCUUAGUACCCCGAGGAAAAGAGAGCAUUCCCUGAGUAGUGGCGAGCGAAAGGGGAGGAGCCCAAACCGAUAUCGUUGAGUGGACUGCGAUCCUAAACGAUAUGGGGGUUGUAAGGCCUGACGGACGAGGUUGCAGACUCGUCGAGGAGUAAGAAACCUUUUCUCUAGUGGAAGGACAUGGGAUGGUCCGCCAGAGGGGGUGAUAGCCCCGUACACGAAAGGGAAGAGGCUCCUGUUGGGACCUUGAGUACCACGGGACACGAUACUCUUGUGGGAAGCUGGGCAGACCACUGUCCAAGGCUAAACACUUCUAGCGACCGAUAGCGAACAAGUACCGUGAGGGAAAGGUGAAAAGUCCCCCUGUUAGGGGAGUGAAAGAGAACCUGAAACCGUAUGCCUACAAGCAGUCAAAGGGCUAUGUCCCUUCGGGGAAAUGCCUAAUGGCGUGCCUUUUGGAGUAUGAUCCGGCGAGUUAAUCUCUGUCGCCAGGUUAAGGCAGUGACAGCCGAAGCCGAAGCGAAAGCGAGUCUGAAUAGGGCGUGUAGUGGCAGGGAUUAGACACGAAACCGGGUGAGCUACCCAUGGCCAGGUUGAAGCGGGAGUAAUGUCCCGUGGAGGACCGAACCCGUUAGUCUUGCAAAACUAUGGGAUGAGCUGUGGGUAGAGGUGAUAUGCCAAACGAACCCGGAGAUAGCUUGUUCUCCCCGAAAUAGCUUUAGGGCUAGCCUCAGAGGUUUAGUGAUGGAGGUAGAGCACUGGAUGGGCAAGGGGGCUUAUCGCUUACCGACCCCAACCAAACUCCGAAUGCCGUCACUUUAGACUCUGGGAGUCGGCUCAUGGGAGAUAAGUUCCAUGAACGAGAGGGAAACAACCCGGACCGCCAGCUAAGGUCCCGAAAUCCAGGUUAAGUGGGAAACGAUGUGAGAAUACUUAGACAGCCAGGAGGUUAGCCUAGAAGCAGCUAUCCUUUAAAGAGUGCGUAAUAGCUCACUGGUCAAGUGAUCUUGCGCGGAAAAUUUAACGGGGCUCAAACCUGGUACCGAAGCUGCGGAGUUCGUCGAGAGACGGGCUGGUAGGGGAGCGUUCUGUAGGAGAGACAAGGCGUACCGUAAGGAGCGCUGCGGCCUACAGAAGUGAGAAUGCCGGAAUGAGUAGCGUGAAACAUGUGAGAACCAUGUUCGCCGUAAGUCUAAGGUUUCCGACGGAAGGUCAAUCCGCGUCGGGUUAGGCGGUCCUAAGCCGAGGCCGAGAGGCGUAGGCGAUGGACAGCAGGUUAACAUUCCUGCCCCGCUACAGAGGAGCGAAGGGGGGACGCAGCAUGGUAGGCCAGCCCUGUGAAUGGAUUCGGGUACGUGCCUGAUAGGGAAGUGAGGAGGACGGGAAAUACGUUCUCUGAUCCUGAGAGUCACGUCGGGGCCUUGAGCCGUAAGUGAGCUGAGCCAAGCUGCCAAGAAAAGCCUCUAAGUGAAGAGACUGUAGCGACCGUACCGCAAACCGACACUGGUAGACGGGUAGAGUAUACCAAGGCGAACGAGAGAACCCUCGUUAAGGAACUCGGCAAACUAACCCCGUAACUUCGGGAGAAGGGGUGCCCUUUGGCGUGAGCGGGAUAACUGUGAGCGCUGAGGGGUCGCAGUGAAAUGGCUCUAGUGACUGGUUAACAAAACCACAGGUCUCUGCGAACUCGUAAGAGGAAGUAUAGGGGCUGACGCCUGCCCAGUGCCGGAAGGUUAAAGGGAGGGGUUAGCGAAAGCGAAGCUCUGAACUGAAGCCCCGGUGAACGGCGGCCGUAACUAUAACGGUCCUAAGGUAGCGAAAUUCCUUGUCGGGUAAGUUCCGACCCGCACGAAUGGCGUAACAACUGGAGCGCUGUCUCAACGAGGGACUCGGCGAAAUUGAAAUACGGGUAAAGAUGCCCGUUACCCGCAGCAGGACAAAAAGACCCCGUGGAGCUUUACUGUAUCUUGGUAUUGAGUUAGGGCUUAGUUUGUGUAGGAUAGCUGGGAGACGGAGAAACUGGGGCGCCAGCCUCGGUGGAGUCGACCUUGAAAUACCAGCCUGACUAAGUUUUGGCCCUAACCUGCGACCGUGACCCGGCGUGGGGACAGUGCCAGGUGGGCAGUUUGACUGGGGCGGUCACCUCCGAAAAGGUAACGGAGGUGCGCAAAGGUUCCCUCAAGGUGAAUGGAAACCACCUGAAGAGUGUAAAGGCAUAAGGGAGCUUGACUGCAAGGCCAACAAGCCGAGCAGAGACGAAAGUCGGCCUUAGUGAUCCUACGGCUCUGAGUGGAAAGGCCGUGGCUUAACGGACAAAAGCUACCCCGGGGAUAACAGAGUGGUGAGGCCCAAGAGUCCACAUCUACGGCCUCGCUCGCUACCUCGAUGUCGGCUCGUCGCAUCCUGGGGCUGAAUCAGGUCCCAAGGGUUGGGCUGUUCGCCCAUUAAAGCGGCACGCGAGCUGGGUUCAGACCGUCGUGAGACAGGUCGGUCUCUAUCCGCUGUGGGCGCAGGGGAUUUGCGGGGAGCUGCCCUUAGUAUGAGAAGACCGGGGUGGACAGACCGCUGGUGUGCCAGUUGUACCGCCAGGUGCAUAGCUGGGUAGCCAAGUCUGGCAGAGAUAACCGCUGAAAGCAUCUAAGUGGGAAACUCGCCCCAAGAUUAGAUCCCCCACUCCGUAAGGAGGUAAGACCGCUGGAAGACUACCAGUAGAUAGGCCGCAGGUGUAAGCACAGCAAUGUGUUAAGCUAAGCGGUACUAAUGGUCGAGGGCUUGAUUCG